GGGAUUGCCCUAGUAACGGCGAGUGAAGCGGCAACAGCUCAAAUUUGAAAUCUGGCGCAAGCCCGAGUUGUAAUUUGUAGAGGAUGCUUCUAGGUAGCGACCGGUCUAAGUUCCUUGGAACAGGACGUCAUAGAGGGUGAGAAUCCCGUAUGUGACUGGCCCGCACCUUCUACGUAGCUCCUUCGACGAGUCGAGUUGUUUGGGAAUGCAGCUCUAAAUGGGAGGUAAAUUUCUUCUAAAGCUAAAUACCGGCCAGAGACCGAUAGCGCACAAGUAGAGUGAUCGAAAGAUGAAAAGCACUUUGGAAAGAGAGUUAAAAAGCACGUGAAAUUGUUGAAAGGGAAGCGCUCACAACCAGACUUCUAGGCAGUGUUCCGCCGGUCUUUUGACCGGUCUACUCUCUGUCUCGAGGCCAACAUCAUCUGGGACCGCCGGAUAAGACCUUAGGAAUGUAGCUCCCCUCGGGGAGUGUUAUAGCCUCUGGUGAUGCGGCGCGUCUCGGGUGAGGUCCGCGCUUCGGCAAGGAUGUUGGCGUAAUGGUUGUCAGCGGCCCGUCUUGAAACACGGACCAAGGAGUCUAACAUCUAUGCGAGUGUUCGGGUGUCAAACCCCUACGCGUAAUGAAAGUGAACGGAGGUGGGAAGCGUAAGCUGCACCAUCGACCGAUCCUGAUGUCCUCGGAUGGAUUUGAGUAAGAGCAUAGCUGUUGGGACCCGAAAGAUGGUGAACUAUGCCUGAAUAGGGUGAAGCCAGAGGAAACUCUGGUGGAGGCUCGCAGCGGUUCUGACGUGCAAAUCGAUCGUCAAAUUUGGGUAUAGGGGCG
rnacentral:rRNA from 1 species